rnacentral:sRNA from 1 species
GCCAGGCGCAAUGGCACACGCCUGUAAUCCCAGCAGCUCGGGAGGUUGAGGCAGGAGGAUCAUGAGUUCAAAGCCAGCAUCAGCAAAAGCAAGGCACUAAGCAACUCAGUGAGACCCUGUCUCUC